rnacentral:rRNA from 1 species
GUCUUUUUGUGUUAAAUUUAAAGUCUGACCUGCCCACUGAAUUUUAAAUGGCCGCAGUAUUUUAACUGUGCAAAGGUAGCAUAAUCAUUAGUCUUUUAAUUGAGGGCUGGUAUGAAUGGUUGGACGAGGUAUAUACUGUUUCAUAUAUAUUUAUAUUAGAAUUUUAUAUUUUAGUUAAAAAGCUAAAAUGGAAUUAAAAGACGAGAAGACCCUAUAAAUCUUUAUAUUUAGUAUAAUUUAGAAUUUUAAGAUUUAUUUUAUUUUUAUUAUUUUGAAAUAUUUUGUUGGGGUGAUGUUAAAAUUUAAUAAACUUUUAAUUAUUUUGUAGUCAUUAAUUUAUGUAUUGUUGAUCCAUUAUUAGUGAUUAUCAGAUUAAGUUACUUUAGGGAUAACAGCGUAAUUUUUUUGGAGAGUUCAUAUCGAUAAAAAAGUUUGCGACCUCGAUGUUGGAUUAAGAGAUAGGUUUAGGUGUAGCUGCUUAAAUGUUAAGUCUGUUCGACUUUUAAAUUCUU